AUUGAACGCUGGCGGCAGGCCUAACACAUGCAAGUCGAGCGGCAGCGGGAAAGUAGCUUGCUACUUUUGCCGGCGAGCGGCGGACGGGUGAGUAAUGCCUGGGGAUCUGCCCAGUCGAGGGGGAUAACUACUGGAAACGAUAGCUAAUACCGCAUACGCCCUACGGGGGAAAGCAGGGGACCUUCGGGCCGUGCGCGAUUGGUGGAACCCGGGUGGGAUUAGCUAGUUGGUGAGGUAAUGGCUCACCAAGGCGACGAUCCCUAGCUGGUCUGAGAGGAUGAUCAGCCACACUGGAACUGAGACACGGUCCAGACUCCUACGGGAGGCAGCAGUGGGGAAUAUUGCACAAUGGGGGAAACCCUGAUGCAGCCAUGCCGCGUGUGUGAAGAAGGCCUUCGAGUUGUAAAGCACUUUCAGCGAGGAGGAAAGGUUGGUAGCUAAUAACUGCCAGCUGUGACGUUACUCGCAGAAGAAGCACCGGCUAACUCCGUGCCAGCAGCCGCGGUAA
rnacentral:rRNA from 1 species